rnacentral:rRNA from 1 species
CGGACGGGUGAGUAACGCGUGAGAAUCUGCCUUUAGGUCCGGGACAACCACUGGAAACGGUGGCUAAUACCGGAUGUGCCGCAAUGUGAAAGGGGAAACCCGCCUGAAGAUGAGCUCGCGUCUGAUUAGCUAGUUGGUGAGGUAAAGGCUCACCAAGGCGACGAUCAGUAGCUGGUCUGAGAGGAUGACCAGCCACACUGGGACUGAGACACGGCCCAGACUCCUACGGGAGGCAGCAGUGGGGAAUUUUCCGCAAUGGGCGAAAGCCUGACGGAGCAAGACCGCGUGAGGGAAGAAGGCUCUUGGGUCGUAAACCUCUUUUGUCAGGGAAGAACACAAUGACGGUACCUGACGAAUCAGCCUCGGCUAACUCCGUGCCAGCAGCCGCGGUAAUACGGAGGAGGCAAGCGUUAUCCGGAAUUAUUGGGCGUAAAGCGUCCGUAGGUGGCUAGUCAAGUCUGCGGUCAAAGACUGGGGCUUAACCCUGGAAAGGCCGUGGAAACUGACGAGCUAGAGUGCAGUAGGGGUAGAGGGAAUUCCCGGUGUAGCGGUGAAAUGCGUAGAGCUCGGGAAGAACAUCGGUGGCGAAAGCGCUCUACUGGACUGCAACUGACACUCAGGGACGAAAGCUAGGGGAGCGAAUGGGAUUAGAUACCCCAGUAGUC